AGAUCUACGCCCGAGGCACCAA
rnacentral:misc_RNA from 1 species